rnacentral:rRNA from 1 species
CCUGACUGCUAUCGGAUUGAUACUAAGCCAUGCGAGUCAUUGUAGCAAUACAAGGCAGACGGCUCAGUAACGCGUAGUCAAUCUACCCUAUGGACGGGAAUAACCUCGGGAAACUGAGAAUAAUGCCCGAUAGAACAUUAUGCCUGGAAUGGUUUAUGUUUCAAAUGAUUUAUCGCCAUAGGAUGGGACUGCGGCCUAUCAGUUUGUUGGUGAGGUAAUGGCCCACCAAGACUAUUACAGGUACGGGCUCUGAGAGGAGUGGCCCGGAGAUGGGUACUGAGACACGGACCCAGGCCCUAUGGGGCGCAGCAGGCGAGAAAACUUUGCAAUGUGCGAAAGCACGACAAGGUUAAUCCGAGUGGUUUCUGCUAAAGAAACCUUUUGUCAGUCCUAGAAACACUAACGAAUAAGGGGUGGGCAAGUUCUGGUGUCAGCCGCCGCGGUAAAACCAGCACCUCAAGUGGUCAGGAUGAUUAUUGGGCCUAAAGCAUCCGUAGCCCGUUUUGUAAGUUUUCGGUUAAAUCCAUGCGCUUAACGUAUGGGCUGCCGGGAAUACUGCAUAACUAGGAAGUGGGAGAGGUAGACGGUACUCGGUAGGAAGGGGUAAAAUCCUUUGAUCUAUUGAUGACCACCUGUGGCGAAGGCGGUCUACCAGAACACGUUCGACGGUGAGGGAUGAAAGCUGGGGGAGCAAACCGGAUUAGAUACCCGGGUAGUCCCAGCUGUAAACUAUGCAAACUCAGUGAUGCAUUGGCUUGUGGCCAAUGCAGUGCUGCAGGGAAGCCGUUAAGUUUGCCGCCUGGGAAGUACGUACGCAAG